UACGUAGGGUGCGAGCGUUGUCCGGAAUUAUUGGGCGUAAAGGGCUCGUAGGCGGUUUGUCGCGUCGGGAGUGAAAUCCACUGGCUUAACUGGUGGCUUGCUUUCGAUACGGGCAGACUGGAGGUAUGCAGGGGGAGAACGGAAUUCCUGGUGUAGCGGUGAAAUGCGCAGAUAUCAGGAGGAACACCGGUGGCGAAGGCGGUUCUCUGGGCAUGUCCUGACGCUGAGGAACGAAAGUGUGGGGAGCGAACAGG
rnacentral:rRNA from 1 species